GAUGAACGCUGGCGGCGUGCCUAAUACAUGCAAGUCGAGCGAACGGACGAGAAGCUUGCUUCUCUGAUGUUAGCGGCGGACGGGUGAGUAACACGUGGAUAACCUACCUAUACGACUGGGAUAACUUCGGGAAACCGGCGCUAAUACCGGAUGAUAUUUUGAACCGCAUGGUUCUGAAGUGAAAGACGGUCUUGCUGUCACUUAUCGAUGGAUCCGCGCUGCUUUAGCUGGUUGGUAAGGUAACGGCUUACCAAGGCGACGAUUCAUAGCCGACGGGAGAGGGUGGUCGCCGCCCCGGGAAGGGGGCCGCCGCCCAGACUACUACGAGACGGACCAGUAGGGAACGGUACGCAGCAGUCGAAAACCUUACACAACAAGCGGAAGUGUGUGGUGACGGCGCCCGGAGCGUAAUACUCGCUUAUGAGUUGAGAACAUAUUUGUAAGUAAAUGUACACAUCGUGACGGUACCUGAUCAAAAAGCCGCGGCUAACUACGUG
rnacentral:rRNA from 1 species